AACGAACGCUGGCGGCGCGCCUAAUACAUGCAAGUCGAGCGAGAAGACGUAGCAAUACGUUUGUAAAGCGGCGAACGGGUGAGGAAUACAUGGGUAACCUACCCUCGAGUGGGGAAUAACUAGCCGAAAGGUUAGCUAAUACCGCGUACGCUCCUUGGACUUCGGUUCAGGGAGGAAAGCGAUACCGUGGGUAUCGCGCUCUUGGAUGGGCUCAUGUCCUAUCAGCUUGUUGGUGAGGUAACGGCUCACCAAGGCUUCGACGGGUAGCUGGUCUGAGAGGACGAUCAGCCACACUGGCACUGCGACACGGGCCAGACUCCUACGGGAGGCUUUAGCAGUAAGGAAUAUUGCGCAAUGGGCGAAAGCCUGACGCAGCGACGCCGCGUGGGGGAUGAAGGUCUUCGGAUUGUAAACCCCUUUCGGGAGGGAAGAUGGAACGAGCAAUCGUUCGGACGGUACCUCCAGAAGCAGCCACGGCUAACUUCGUGCCAGCAGCCGCCGCGGU
rnacentral:rRNA from 1 species